rnacentral:sRNA from 1 species
AGAGGGAAAAUAAUUCUUCAAAAAAGAAAAGUCAGUCUUCUCCUCUCCAGUCCGUGGAAAAUCCAACGGGGACGUUGACAAGAGGGUAUUUUUAGGAAACACAUCCAAAUAUACAGGGUAAGAGUGAAUGUGAGAAAAAAAAAAGUUGUGGGUUGUAGAAGUUAUCAAGUGGGAUUUGCGGCGCUCUCUGCAGGAAACGCGAGCGGCUCCAGUUCAAAGCCACAUGCACCAACGUGACAUAUAAGCCAUUAAAAUAUCAUCCUGACGGCUCAUUUCUGCUUCAUCAUACAUUCCCUAACUGCUUCCUGAAAGCUGGAAAAGGAGAAGUGAAGGAUGACCGCCUCGCUGGAACCACAAAAGAGAGGCUUGGAGGGGUUUGUGGUCCCCUCUCAGCCACCCCGAAAUGAUGUGCAGAAAUGAGGCGAUCCUGGCAACAGGUGGAGUGGGGGUCAAAGCGCCAAGUUAGCAAGACGAUGGAACUUCUCCGCCCCAACCUGACGGCAGAUGCCGCCUGAGUCCACCUCAGGGCGGCUCCUUGCCCUCCCUCACCCUGGUCCUGCCUCAGGAAGCUGACUGCUGGGAUCUGCUCUCUGCGCGCGGCCAGCAGUGGGUUCGGGACUUGGCUUUCUUUAUCUCCAAUGCGAACAAGAGCAGCAACUAGCUCUCUGGGGAGCAGGCCGCAGCUCCUAGGAUUCUGGCCCCUAGCCUAGACCCAGGGGCAUUGGAAAUUAGGGGCCAAUGAGGAGGGAAUAGAGCUGAGCUGUGAAAGAAAGCUAGGACUGGCUCAAAGGUUGGAUCUGAAAGUUGGGGUUGAUGAAUGGCCCAUGUCAAAG